AUACGGAGGAUCCGAGCGUUAUCCGGAUUUAUUGGGUUUAAAGGGUGCGCAGGCGGGAGAUUAAGUCGGCGGUGAAAUUUUGCAGCUCAACUGGAAAAGUGCCUUCGAAACUGGUUUCCUUGAGUGUAGAUGGGGGAGGCGGAAUUUGUGGUGUAGCGGUGAAAUGCAUAGAUAUCACGAGGAACUCCGAUUGCGCAGGCAGCUUACUAAACUACUACUGACGCUCAGGCACGAAGGCGUGGGGAUCAAACAGGAUUAGAUACCCUGGUAGUCCACGCAGUAAACGAUGAUUACUAGCUGUUUGCGAUACAAUGUAAGCGGCUGAGCGAAAGCGUUAAGUAAUCCACCUGGGGAGUACGUUCGCAAGAAUGAAACUUAAAGGAAUUGACGGGG
rnacentral:rRNA from 1 species